AUUGAACGCUGGCGGCAGGCCUAACACAUGCAAGUCGAGCGAGCGGCGGACGGGUGAGUAAUGUCUGGGUAACUGCCUGAUGGAGGGGGAUAACUACUGGAAACGGUAGCUAAUACCGCAUACCAUCAGAUGUGCCCAGAUGUGAUUAGCUAGUAGGUGGGGUACAGGCUCACCUAGGCGACGAUCCCUAGCUGGUCUGAGAGGAUGACCAGCCACACUGGAACUGAGACACGGUCCAGACUCCUACGUGAGGCAGCAGUGGGGAAUAUUGGACAAUGGGCGCAAGCCUGAUCCAGCCAUGCCGCGUGGGUGAAGAAGGUCUUCGGAUUGUAAAGCACUUUAAGUUGGGAGGCGUUACCAACAGAAUAAGCACCGGCUAACUCCGUGCCAGCAGCCGCGGUAAUUC
rnacentral:rRNA from 1 species